AUGGCACAGCAAUCUGGUUUUGCCUGGUUCCGAAACAUAAUUACUUUUUUAUUUUUUUUGUCUAUAGGUAAGCUAUAUGUUAUUCAAGGCAUCAAUAGAAAACCCCAUUUUUGUAGGUUCUACUUACUUUUCAUUGGCUUCGGAAUAAUAGAGUAA
rnacentral:rRNA from 1 species